rnacentral:tRNA from 1 species
GCCUUCCAGAUGCAACUGGAAGCACGUCCGACUAGCAAUCGGGAAGUCCGGUGUUCGAAUCUCCGAGAAGGCA